CCCUUAGAUGUUCUGGGCCGCACGCGCGCUACACUGAUGCAUUCAACGAGCCUAUCCUUGACCGACAGGUCCGGGUAAUCUUUGAAUCUGCAUCGUGACGGGGAUAGAUUAUUGCAAUUAUUAAUCUUCAACGGGGAAUGCCUAGUAGGCGCAAGUCAUCAGCUUGCGUCGAUUACGUCCCUGCCCUUUGUACACACCGCCCGUCGCUCCUACCGAUUGGGUGUGCUGGUGAAAUGUUCGGAUCGGCCGUUUGUCGCGGUUUCCGCGGCUCGUGGCUGAGAAGUUCAUUAAACCCUCCCACCUAGAGGAAGGAGAAGUCGUAACA
rnacentral:rRNA from 1 species